CAUCUGCUUGCUGGCUGCUGCUGCUGCUCCUCCUCCUCCUCGCUUGGAUGCGACCGUCGUGAGGCGCCCACUCUUGGGCAGUGGCCGGGACUUGCCUGACAUCGUUGUCACUUCGAGCUCCCUGGGAUGGAUGCUCCCGCGCUCUGGAGCCUCUGCACCUCAGCCAUCAUCCGGCUCUCCUCCACUAGCGGUCUUGUUCAACGUGGUCUCCCUCACCGACUUGGACGACGAUGGCUCGUCGUCAGGCGGUGGCGCCCCCUUCCGUCGAGGCGGGAAUCAAGAACCGUCUGCUGGAAGGCAACACCGCCAGCGACAGCGACGAUGAGAACCCCGAC
rnacentral:misc_RNA from 1 species